rnacentral:misc_RNA from 1 species
UUUCCGUAGGUGAACCUGCGGAAGGAUCAUUAUCGAGUUAGGGUCUCUACGGCCCGAUCUCCCAACCCUUGUGUUAAAACAUUCCAUGUUGCUUCGGCAGGCCCGUCUCACGACCGCCGGACUCUGUCACAGAGCCUGGCCUGUGCCUGUCGGUAGCCCAACUUACAAAAUUCUUGAUAAACUGUGUCGUCUGAGUUUACAAACAAAAUAAAAACAAAACUUUCAACAACGGAUCUCUUGGUUCUGGCAUCGAUGAAGAACGCAGC